UCCGGUGUGGCGCAAUGGUAGCGCAAUCGACUGUUAAUCGAUGUGUUAGAGGUUCGAGUCCUCUCACCGGAGCCA
rnacentral:tRNA from 2 species